CGGGCAGAGAGGCUGGAAACGGCAGAGGAGGAAAAGAAGAAAGAAAAGAAAAGAAAAAGAAGAAGAAAAAGAAGAGGAGAAAAAGGAAGGAAAAUAGAUAGUUCAAGCUUAUUUCCAUUCUCCUUUCUCUAUAUUUUCUUCAAGAGGUAAAUGAAUGAUUUUAUGUUAAAUUUUUAGGGUUUUAACUUGUGGUAUAAAUUUCAGAUUUAAGAGGCUAAGAGUACAAAUUGGAGCUCAAGUUUGUUGAUUCUUUAAUCUCCAAUUUCAUUAAGGUAAGAAUACUAAUUUUUGGCAAACCCUAGAUUUUAAAUUGGAUACUUGAGUAAGGAUUAAUUGUGAACAUGAUUAUGGUGAUGAUCUAUUAACUUGAAAGAAUGGAUCUAUGGAAUAAGAUAUAAAUUAGAUUGGUGCGAGUGGGAAUUCAAGUUUCACUAGAUUAGAAUAAAGAAUUGUUUUUAUUUUUGGGAUGUAGGCAAUUAUGAUAAUUUAAAGAUUAGUGAAAUGCUAGAAGGUAGAAUUUGUUUCAAUUGUGAAGGAAACUAAAGAAUAUAUUCAAGUGCCGAAAAGUCAAGUUCUAAGAUUUCAUAAUUAAAUGUUAAGAUACAUAGUAUGGGAGUUGUUAAAUUAGUUAUUUUACAUCGUAUUUCAGGUGAUGACGUGAAAGCUUGACAAGGUUGGUCAAUUUGACCAGAUUGCUAUCCAUAGAUCUAUGAGUGGAGAAUCUACGUUUCCAAAAAGAAUAUUUUCUUUUUAUUUUAUAGAAGCAAAUUAAUUACAUGAGAUGCCUUAUUUUCUUACUCUAGUGCACCGAGGGGUUAUGGCCGUGUACUAGAGUCAUGUAUUUAACUCCUAUACACUGAGGGACUACAGCCGUGUGUAAGGGCAUUUCUUAUCCACUGAGGGGCUACGACCGUGGGUAAAGGUAUCCAUUAUACAUUAAGGGGCUACAGCCGUGCAUAAAGAUGAUUAUGUUGUUUCCAUCUUGUACACUGAGGGGCUACGACUGUGUACAGAGUAUUGAUCAGAAGGUUUAUGUACGUAUGAUUUAUAGCUUUCAGAUCAUUAGUAGAUGUUUACACGGGAUAUAUUUGAUGUAAAUUUUAAUUAUAUAGAGGAUUAUUAGUCUUCAGCUUCCAGUUACCCGUUUACAGUUCAACUUAUGGAUUUCAGAUUAUAGAGUUCAAUUUAUUUAGUUCUAAGAAUAAAGCUUCCGGCUUAUAAUAUUGAGCAACAAUAUUCCAUAGAUUUUCAUGAAUACUAGAUUCUUUGUAUUCGUUAUACUUUGCAGUAAUUAAGAACAAAGAAUUUUAUAAUGCAGUCAUGCUUAGUUGAAAAGUGUUGCUAGAUUUAAGCAUUUUCUCAAACAUUUAAUAGAGAUAGAAUUAUCAGGAAAUAUGCAUAAAUGGAAAAGUACACUUAUUUUCAAUCUAUCCAUUCACUAAGUUGCAAGCUCAUAUUUUGUUAACCUUUUUCCUUAUCAGAUAGCAUCCGAGUUGAGCAGUAUUAGAGCCUGUCGAUCCACUGAAUUGAGCCACGCGUCAUUAGUUGUAUGGUCCACUUUAUGAUAUUAGGUAGUACCUGUUUCUUAGGUUACAUGUAGUUUAUGUUAGAAAAGAUUGUUAUGAGAUCACUGUAUGGUAUAUUUAGUACAUUUGAGGAUUGUUGAUAGAAAAGCA
rnacentral:lncRNA from 1 species